UGCUGUGAGGAGGAUAUGGCUCCUAAAUUUGUCACCCAUUGACUGCCAGGGUUGAUUAGGCUGACCUCACUGGCUAGGCCUGCAUCCCUUCCUCCCACACCACUCCAUGCGCAUCCUCCUGGAACUGAGCUCUGGGUUAAAGAGGACCACCUUUCCUGAUAGAGGUGAUAGAAGAGGACCAUUCUUUGGAUGAGGAGGUAUAAGUCAGCACUCACCUGCUAGAACCUCCAAACAACUCUCAAAAAAUAUAAUGUAUGCUACAAAACUUCGAUUAAAAAAUGUAGCAGGGCUUAAAGGAAAAUAUACUCCAAAUGCAAACCAUUGCUAGGAAAUUU
rnacentral:snRNA from 1 species